rnacentral:lncRNA from 1 species
CAAAAACGGGUGGGCUAUAGCCUUGGGGGGUGGGGCUGGCCAACUUCGUCCGCCGGACUCGGAAUGGCGUGAGACUUUGCGAGGCACUCCGUGUGCCAAAAAUAGGCCGCGGGCACAGCCGCAUCCAAAAAUAACCUCCCGAAGGCCGGGGCGCCAAGUUCGUCCAGCGGAAAAAGCCCACAAAAACGGAUGGGCUAUAGCUUUGGGGGGUGGGGCCGGCCAACUUCGUCCGCCGGACUCGGAAUGGCGCGAGGCAUUGCGAGGCACCUCCGUGUGCCAAAAAUAGGCCAUGAGUAAAGCCGCGCCCAAAAAUAACCACCCGAAGGCCGGGGCGCCAAGUUCGUCCAGCGGAAAAAGCCCACAAAAACAGGUGGGCUAUAGCCUUGGGGUGUGGGGCUGGCCAACUACGUCCGCCGGACUCGGAGUGGCGCGAGACUUUGCGAGGCACCUCCGUGUGCCAAAAAUAAGCUGCGGGCACAGCCGCAUCCAAAAAUAACCUCCCGAAGGCCGGGGCGCCAAGUUCGUCCAGCGGAAAAAGCCCACAAAAACGGGUGGGCUAUAGCCUUGGGGGGUGGGGCUGGCCAACUUCGUCCGCCGGACUCGGAAUGGCGCGAGACUUUGCGAGGCGCCUCCGUGUGCCAAAAAUAGGCCAUGGGCAAAGCCGCGCCCAAAAAUAACCGCCCGAAGGCCGGGGCGCCAAGUUCGUCCAGCGGAAAAAGGCCACAAAAACGGGUGGGCUAUAGGCUUGGGGGGUGGGGCUGGCCAACUUCGUCCGCCGGACUCGGAAUGGCGCGAGACUUUGCGAGGCACCUGCGUGUGCCAACAAUAGGCCACGAGCAAAUCGGCGCCCAAAAAUAACCGCCCGAAGGCCGGGGCGCCAAGUUCGUCCAGUGGAAAAAGGCCACAAAAACGGGUGGGCUAUAGCCUUGGGGGGUGGGGCUGGCCAACUUCGUCCGCCGGACUCGGAAUGGCGUGAAACCUUGCGAGGUGCCUCCGUGUGCCAAAAAUAGGCCGCGGGCACAGCCGCGUCCAAAAAUAACCACCCGAAGGCCGGGGCGCCAAGUUCGUCCAGCGGAAAAAGCCCACAAAAACAGGUGGGCUAUAGCCUUGGGGUGUGGGGCUGGCCAACUACGUCCGCCGGACUCGGAAUGGCGCGAGACAUUGCGAGGCACCUCCGUGUGCCAAAAAUAGGCUGCGGGCACAGCCGCGUCCAAAAAUAAUCUCCCGAAGGCCGGGGCGCCAAGUUCGUCCAGCGGAAAAAGCCCACAAAAACGGGUGGGCAAUAGCCUUGGGGGGUGGGGCUGGCCAACUUCGUCCGUCGGACUCGGAAUGGCGCGAGACUUUGCGAGGCGCCUACGUGUGCCCAAAAUAGGCCGCAGGCAAAGCCGCGCCCAAAAAUAACCGCCCGAAGGCCGGGGCGCCAAGUUCGUC